UACGGAGGAUGCGAGCGUUAUCCGGAUUUAUUGGGUUUAAAGGGUGCGCAGGCGGCGUGUCAAGUCAGCGGUAAAAUGUCGGGGCUCAACCCCGGCCGGCCGUUGAAACUGGCGUGCUCGAGUCGGAGAGAAGUAUGCGGAAUUCGUGGUGUAGCGGUGAAAUGCAUAGAUAUCACGAAGAACCCCGAUUGCGAAGGCAGCAUACCGGCUCCACACUGACGCUGAGGCACGAAAGCGUGGGUAUCGAACAGG
rnacentral:rRNA from 1 species